GGAACUUCUCUUCGAACGAAGAGCCUACCAAUCGCCGCCUGCCCACUCAUUGUGCAUCCGUUGGACGGGAGUUCGAACCCUGUUGAUGGCCUUUGCCAUCGAUUAUGGCUUAUGAACAAAAGAAGCGGACUUCUCUUGACCUUUCUGCCUCGUUAGACAGUGAACCCCUACCCGGACGCCGCGUAAUCGAUCAACCACCCCAUUGCCGAGUGGUUCCGCUGCUACGCAUCGGCUGGACUCUCCCACUAGCCGGUGUGACCCUGACUCUGUGCCGGGUCUGAGGAUGCCCUCCGUCGUCAUCCCUUAGAAGGCGUUACCCGCUUUCGGACUGCCUCGUUACGGCGCACUCACUACUUCCAAAAGCCUAGCAUUUCGAGACAACGGUCCCUUCUUGCGAACCCUCUCAUUGACGAGAGUUCCACUGCCAUGGACUCUUCUUUCGGGGCCGAUUGAUGCACGGUCGUCGGCGCCAUUAUGCAUCCCCCGUUCGCAACAGGCCUUAAUAACCCGCAUUUCGCGCGCGUCCGCCAGUACAUUCAGACCACAAAUUAGGGCCCCGAGUUGGGGCCUAGCGUGACCUUUGACGCACUGAACUCACGUCUUCUCCUCUCACCUUAAGGUGCACAUCGCCACUUUACGCAUCUCUACACCUCCUUGUGGUCACCGCUUCCGCUGAGAGACCCGACAUUGACUGCGACUCCGCGCUUUCGCACCCCUCGUUUGUCCUAAUCUAUGGGACCAUCAGGUGCGGCAUUUGCUACUUACGAUCCACAAUCCCCAAAGCUAUGGGAACCACGGCUUCAAUUGUGUAAUUCGUAAGGCGGACCCCUCAUGCCAGCGUUCUGACUUUGAGUUUCCUUAACUGCCCCUGGGCGUGUUCGUCACCUCAUACACCAAAUUAAGCUUCGUUGCGCUUCUUGGAAUGGUCCAGAACUGUAGGUUGAUUGCUCCGUCUCUACGCAAUCCACGGGAAGCCCCUUUCAACUCUGUCCACCACGUACCAACAGCAGUCGAGCACAGCACUCUACAACCCAAUUCAGGGCGUUGCUCGCGUUGGGAACUAGAAUCAACGGUCGUGAAGCCCACCCGUGAGAUUCCACUGACGGCCACUGUUUGGCCUCCUUCCACCCCUACUGCAGUUUAGUAGUACGGGGAAUACUGGACCCGAUGUGUGCAUGAUGUUACCGGCCAUGUUGCCCGUCACUUCGGCGCUCCACCUUGGUUAGGAUUUUUCGGCCAGAGUCAAGCCUAACGUCCGACGUUGAGCGGACGUACUUCAGCCUUAACGAUCAUUAGCGCCUAGUCGUACGGCGCCACUUAUGCAAGGGCCCAGAACAUGUGUGGCGGGCAGUGUGGUGCUCUCAAAUAUUGUGGGCUUCA
rnacentral:rRNA from 1 species